rnacentral:rRNA from 1 species
CAGUAGCCACGGUAAUACAGAGGGUGCGAGCGUUAAUCGGAUUUACUGGGCGUAAAGCGUGCGUAGGCGGCUUCUUAAGUCGGAUGUGAAAUCCCUGAGCUUAACUUAGGAAUUGCAUUCGAUACUGGGAAGCUAGAGUAUGGGAGAGGAUGGUAGAAUUCCAGGUGUAGCGGUGAAAUGCGUAGAGAUCUGGAGGAAUACCGAUGGCGAAGGCAGCCAUCUGGCCUAAUACUGACGCUGAGGUACGAAAGCAUGGGGAGCAAACAGGAUUAGAUACCCCUGUAGUCCCUGUCUCUUAUAC